rnacentral:snRNA from 1 species
AUCGCUUCUCGGCCUUUUGGCUAAGAUCAAGUGUAGUAUCUGUUCUUAUCAGUUUAAUAUCUGAUAUGUCCUCUAUUUGAGGACUCUAUAUUAAAUGGAUUCUAUAUACAGAAGGUAGUAUAAGAAUUGUUCUAUAUACAGUUGUAUCAUAACUUCUUUCCCCCUAAAACAGGGGGAAUGGGACAGUUUAC